AUAUAUAGAGACUGGUAGGCGCGCUUAUACCUGUAAAAUUUGACGCCAAAUCCGGCGCUAGGUAAACUCAAUCCAUAGAUGGCGCCAGGGUGAUCAGUGUACUUCAAAUGAAUGUCAUUUAAAUUGUUUUAGGUUAUGAUGUUAUGUACAAAAAUUUUUUACUUAGCGACUUGGUGUGGUUUGGCAUCUACAGUGUGUUAUACCUAGUUAUUGUUGCAAACAAUUUCGGUAAAUAAAAUAGACAAGUACUAAUCGGAUGUAUAAGCAAGCAAACUUGCACAUCGCACUGUUCACUUUGCUAAAGUUCAAAGUUACAGAGCAUUGAGGGGUUCCACUAAAAAGGAUGCUCGUUAUCAUAGUAAAUAGUAGCGCAAUACCUGCAUUACAGACUUCUCACCCCGUCUAGCUGUCGGAGCUUGUACUGGAUCAAGCGAAGUCAACAAGUCAUUGAUCAAUGUAAACCAUAUGUGAACAAACCAGGAGCCGCCCUUCUUAUAUUAAGAUAAGCAUCAAAUGACCCUCACCUACACAAUCUACGGUGUAAGCAAUCAUGCCGAGAGCUGUAAGAACCUCUGACACAAAAUCAUUAUUGCCCGUUUGAUUAGCGAGAUUCUCGGCUGCUGAGAUGGGGAUUGAAGGAACUGGCAAAAGUCUACAUUAUUACUGUUAAGAUGGAAGGAGUGUGGCUUAUCCUAACCUUAGUCAUCUUCCCAUUUAACGCCUCUGCAAAACGACCAACUUCGGACUUCAGAAGAAUGACAGAUCACUGCGUAGGCAACGACGUGGAAUUGUAUUAGGUGUCGAUGCUAACGAUGUGUGGGGAAACACAACUACACUACACUUCUGCAGUCUGCACAGCUUCCUUGCCUUGGGUCUCAUGCCGAGUACAAUUACUUAGUGGUCGCUCUCCUACUUUCCAUGGAAAUUUAAAAUACAGAUGCGUUAAAACAUAGACCCUUUUUCCAUAUUAUUAUCAGGGAAACUGCCUGUUACAUUUUUUACAAAUAUUUACAAAUAAAUUUUCUAUAAACAAC